CUCAGCUUGACGCAUUUAUUUGUUUGGCUAAAAAAAUGGUCUCUUUCCUGAUGCACAGAAUUAAAGGGAUGGUUUCCCCGGAAGGCUGACAUUUAAGAGGACAUAGUAAGGAUAUUUGAAGGGGUGGAAUUACUCAAAUGAAGCAUCACAUUAAGAUCUGACACAGCAACUUGAUUCACCAAAAUCUGAAUAUCAUCAGUCUUUGAUUCCAUAAGAGAAAGGAUAUUAGAAGGGGAGGAUUUGUAGACAGAAAUCUCAAACCAAACAUUAUGUCAAGAUCUGGCGGAGUCACUGCAUUCAUUGGGACCUGAAUAUCAUCAGCCUUUGAAUCUAAUGGAGAAAUGUUUGUCUGUUCUGAUUGCUUCAAAAGAUUGUAAAGUUCAAUGUGAGUGGAAAAGCACCAAGAUGCACACGCCCAUGUGAGAGUGUUCUAGUGCACUGACUGUGGAAACGAUAUUAACCAUUUGACAAAAACAUCAGACCAUUCACAGCAUGGAGAGACUGUACACGUGUUCUGUUUGUGGAUGAGUCCUCAACUGAUCGUUGAACCUGGAGAGUCACAAGGAUACCCACACCAUGGAGAAACAGGGGAAAUGUGGGGACUGUGGGAAGGGAUUCAGUCCCCUUCUGCACUCGAAAUUCAUCGACACAUUCACACUAGGGAGAGGCCAUUCACCUGCUUUCUGUGUGGGAAGGGAUUCACUUGGUCAUCCAACCUGCUGACACACCAGCGAGUUCACACCGGGGAGAGGCCAUUCACCUGCUGUGUAUGUGGGAAAGGAUUCACUCAGUUAUCCAGCCUGCUGAGACACCAGCGAGUUCACACUGAGGAGAGACCAUUCACCUGCUCUACUUGUGGGAAGGAAUUCAGUAAUUUAUACAACUUGUUGACACACCAGCGAGUUCACACUAGGGAGAGGCCAUUCAUGUGUUCUGACUGUGGGAAAGGAUUCACUCAGCCAACCUGUUGAGACACCAGCGAGUUCACAAGUAAUUACAGGGGCUGGAUUCUGCUGUUAUUACUACUGGUAUAAGAUAUUAGUUCGACCUCAGCUGGAGUAUUGUGUAUAGUUCUGGGCACCAUACUAUAGGAAGGAUGUGAAUGGAUUAGAGACAGUGCAGAAGAGGUUUACGGAUAUGGUUCCAGGGAUCAGAAAUUU